GAAAGGUUAAUAAUAUGGGAUAAUUACUGGAAAAUAUUUAAACGGGAGGACAGCGGGAUAGAAGUAAAAAUACGGGAUAAUCCCGGGGAAAAACGUGAGGGUUGACAGGUAUGGUGGUCAUCCUGUAUGGAUCCAAGCAUUAAACUGCACAGCAAUAACUGGAGAGUUGACAUUUCAGGGUUAAGCAUUUCCGAGUUGAUUUCAACUCACGAAGUGUUACUUUAACAUUUUCUGAUUGAAAUGGUGUUUAUUGUUGGAGUUAUUUCACUGUUCAUCAUGUCAGAGUUAGACCAACUCUGCAGAGACGUGAUUAAGCUCCGCCCCUGUAUGUCACUGCUUCGGUUGGAGACGAGUCCACGAUAAAUCAGCUCGAUUUUCUCUCCUCAUGCGGUUGACAGGGAACACUUCCAUGUUGCUGCAGGCAGCACGGGAUACAUUUCUUGGCAUCUGAAAGCAAUCCAACGAAAGAUUUGUCGAGGAUCUGCACCAUCACCGUGUCCAUGUCCAAUGAGCUGUUAAUGUACAAAGACAGCUGGAUGGGGAUGCUUGCCAAGAGGACAUGUCUUUGCUCAGCCAUACCACAGACAAUUCCCUGAUUUUUCAGAAAAUGAGAGAAACCUUUCAGCACCGUCAGAAGCUUGUUAAUGACCCAAGCAGAGGUGUUGAUAUCCUCUCCACCGUCCCAAGAUUCCUGGAUACCAAAGGAUUGGUGGAUCAAGACUUCCUCGCUGUUGGGCGUCAGAAGAGCAAGAUUGACAGCUUCUACAUCACCAUGGAUAAGCAUCUCAUCCCACGCCAGGCAAACCGCUCCCUACCUCGGGGCUUUCGACAAACUUUCCAAAACCCAUUUUGUGUUUAAUUUGUCGUACGAUGCUGCGUUACUGAAUUUUUACACAUUCUUGCAGACAACAGUGUAUAACAUUGAUGUGGGGAAAAUGAAGGAGUCACCCAGAGUCAGAGACUGGAGAGCCAGACUGCUUGACCAGCUAGUACCGGUCUCACUCUCUGAGUAAGAGGCUAAAACAAUACUGACCGGUUUCAUGUGUCAGAAUUUGACAUUUUAAUUUCUAUCCCAUUUGUAUGAUGGGGUUAUACUGGAACCGUUGAUAAAUGAUAUAAAAUUACUGGAAACCCAAGGCCUUAGUCUUAGUAGUGUUUGAUUGAGAGGAAUGAUUCUCAAACAGUAUACAGUGAGGAAGAUCCCAAAGUGAUCCUUUGUGGAAAAAAUAUGUUUGAUAUGCAUUACAAAUGUCUCCAAGACAACCCACAAUUGAAGUCCUUGUAUGGUUUGAAAAAGACUUCUACACUUAACUCAUUGAAGUAUUUCCAUGUUUGAAAUAAUUACUCAUUUGAUAUAAUGCAUGACCUUCUUGAGGGUGUGACUCAGUGUGAGAUCAAAUUUGCUUUUUGAAUAUCUCACAAAAAACUUAAUAUCACAACAGAACUUGCUUUCCAGGAUUUAUGGUUUUGACUACGGAUUUUUAGAACGAAAGAAACGUCCCACAAAGAUCAUUUUGGACAGUGCUGGCAAUGGCAUUGGUUUGAAUUCUAUUCAAACAUUGUGUCUUGUGAAAAACUUCCCACUGUUUGGUGACAUCAUUCCUGCAGGAAACGAAAACUGGAAUGUGUUACUGUUGUUACUUAAAAUAAUGAACAUGGUUGUGUCACUUUUUCUCACUCUAGGUACGACAAUAUAUUUAAAGCAUUUGAUUGUUGACCACCACAAACUAUUUAAGCACUUGUUUCCACAUAGAAACUUGCUACCGAAGCAUCAUUUUAUGACCCUCUGUAUAUGUGGUCUAUGAGGUGUGAAGCCAAAGACAAGAUUCAAAAACAUAACCAAAUCACUAAAAAGCAUCAGAUGGCUAUUGCUUAUCACUGGGAAAUAUUCACCCUCAAAUAAAAAGAGUAUGGACCAAUUAAGACUUAUUCCCUCAGAGAUGUGAAUGUGGUCAACAACGAAAUGCUUGAAAUGAUUUUGUCAAAAGAUGUUUUCUCAACUAGUGUUAAAGUUGAUGGUGUAGAAUAUACAUGUGGACUUGUUUGUCUUUUGUCAAAUAUGUGAUGUACUUUUGGUUGAAGGUAACACAUUUUGUUUAUUAACAAACAAGCUAUUCACCGAGAAUUCUUUUGAUGACCAUCAUCGUGCAUUUCGAGUGUUACAAAGUGAGGAAAGGUUCAUAAUAAAAAUGUCUGAGCUUAAAUUCCAUAAGCCAUUUGAUAUUCAAAGCUCAUACAAUGUUUCAGAUGAAAGUUUGUACAUUAUACCAUGAAAUGGUUUUGUUUAUUUGAAUCAAUGAAUAUAUUAUUUAAUAACAUUAAUUGGUGUUACUUUAACUCUGUUUUGUGAAUUAAAGAAGGAACUCUGGCACAGUGUUUUAACUAUUAUGAAAGUGUUCAUUUAACUCUGAAAAGUGUGGACCUAUAUAAACCCUGAAAAAGUGUUGAAAUCAACACUGGACUUUUUGCAAGGUCCAAGGUGUGGUUUAAACGGUGAGCUGGUUUAUGUACAUUCUGACUGAACCCAAUUGAAUCUAAUGAGAUAAACGCGUUAUUAAGGCUGUCGUUAUCGAUAUCCACAUGAA
ensembl:lncRNA